AGUGAUUCUUCUGAAAGAAGCAACUCUACACAAAUUUACAAGUGUCUGAUAUUGGUCUACUGAACUGACUUCAUUUCCUUACUGAUAGAGAAACCAGUCCCUCUCCAUCCUUCCUGCAUCACAAGACUGGUAUAACAGGCCUGUAUGAAGACAUGAAAAGGAAUGUUUUCAGAAAGAAAGUCCAUUUUCAUACUUGAAGACACUGACUUCUUUUCUUUGAUGGAAACAUAGAGAAGAAAUGUCACUUUUAUCACUCUGAGAACACACAAGUUCAGAAUAUGUUUAUGCCACUUCCAUGCAGAGAAUGUGCUCCAUCACUGAACUGCAGCCUCAGGUCUACCUCAGAUUUUGAUCACACGACCAAGGUACACUUCUAAUGGCUAACAGCAUGUGGAGAAAUGGGGUUUGGUGUCAGAGGGUAAUAUUUUAAAAAUUUACCAUAAAGUUCAAACAAGGAAGACAAUAUUUGAAGGUGAGAUUCCUAAUCACCUAGCCAAUAAUGAUGCCAAUUUAUGUAAAUCAUAGCAAACUCAUUGUGAAAAUGACCAGGAAUAAUAAUAAAGUUCCGGG
rnacentral:lncRNA from 1 species